rnacentral:rRNA from 1 species
CCUACGGGGUGCAGCAGUGAGGAAUAUUGGUCAAUGGACGAGAGUCUGAACCAGCCAAGUAGCGUGAAGGAUGACUGCCCUAUGGGUUGUAAACUUCUUUUAUAUGGGAAUAAAACGUUCCACGUGUGGGAUUUUGUAUGUACCAUAUGAAUAAGGAUCGGCUAACUCCGUGCCAGCAGCCGCGUUAAUACGGAGGAUCCGAGCGUUAUCCGGAUUUAUUGGGUUUAAAGGGAGCGUAGGUGGAUUGUUAAGUCAGUUGUGAAAGUUUGCGGCUCAACCGUAAAAUUGCAGUUGAAACUGGCAGUCUUGAGUACAGUAGAGGUGGGCGGAAUUCGUGGUGUAGCGGUGAAAUGCUUAGAUAUCACGAAGAACUCCGAUUGCGAAGGCAGUUCACUGGACUGCAACUGACACUGAGGCUCGAAAGUGUGGGUAUCAAACAGGAUUAGAUACCCUUGUAGUC